GUCCCUGUAGUGCAAUGGUAGCGCAUUGAACUUCUAAUCCAAAGGUCGUGCGUUUGAAUCCCACCUGGGAUA